rnacentral:guide_RNA from 1 species
AAUGCAUACAAUGACCACAGUAAAGUGAUCUAU